GUCGUAACAAGGUCUCCGUAGGUGAACCUGCGGAGGGAUCAUUACACAACAAAAUAUGAAGGCCUGGCUUUCGCGGCCGGCUGAAGUAUUUUUUUCACCCAUGUCUUUUGCGCACUUGUUGUUUCCUGGGCGGGUUCGCCCGCCACCAGGACCAAACCAUAAACCUUUUUUUCUUAUGCAGUUUCCAUCAGCGUCAGUAAAAACAAUGUAAUUAUUACAACUUUCAACAACGGAUCUCUUGGUUCUGGCAUCGAUGAAGAACGCAGCGAAAUGCGAUACGUAGUGUGAAUUGCAGAAUUCAGUGAAUCAUCGAAUCUUUGAACGCACAUUGCGCCCUUUGGUAUUCCAAAGGGCAUGCCUGUUCGAGCGUCAUUUGUACCUUCAAGCUUUGCUUGGUGUUGGGCGUUUUUUUGUCUCCCUCUUUCUGGGAGACUCGCCUUAAAACGAUUGGCAGCCGGCCUACUGGUUUCGGAGCGCAGCACAUUUUUUGCGCUUUGUAUCAGGAGAAAAGGACGGUACUCCAUCAAGACUCUACAUUUUUCACUUUUGACCUCGGAUCAGGUAGGGAUACCCGCUGAACUUAAGCA
rnacentral:rRNA from 1 species